GAAAGUGGGGCGAUCUGGCUGUGACAUCUGCCACCCCAUUGAACCUCAGGGUUGACUCAGCUAAUUUGGUUGGCUAGGUAGGUGUCCCCUUAUUACCUCUAGGUUCCAUCUGUGUCCCUCCUGAAGCUGCACACUUGGUGGAAGAGGUCAACCUUCCCUGAUAGAGGACCGUUCUUUGGUCAAGGGUAUAGAUGAGUAGCUGUGCUUCCUUGCUAGAACCUCCAAAAAGCUCUCAAAGAAGAAAUAGAGUCAUAGAGAGGUGGACUCACCUACAUGAAGUCUUUAGUCAUUUCAACUUAAGAUUUUCUAAU
rnacentral:snRNA from 1 species